rnacentral:misc_RNA from 1 species
GAUGAAGAACGCAGCGAAACGCGAUAUGUAAUGUGAAUUGCAGAAUUCAGUGAAUCAUCGAAUCUUUGAACGCACAUGGCGCCUUCCAGUAUCCUGGGAGGCAUGCCUGUCCGAGCGUCGUUUCAACCCUCGAGCCCCCGUGGCCCGGCGUUGGGGAUCUGCCCAGGCAGUCCCCGAAAACCAGUGGCGGACCCGUUACAGGCCCUUCCCUUGCGUAGUAGCAUUCGCCUCGCAUCGGGAGCCGGCGGGCUUCCAGCCUCUAAACCCCCAUCAAGUCCGCCCCGGCGGCACCAAGGUUGACCUCGGAUCAGGUAGGAAUACCCGCUGAACUUAAGCAUAUCAAUAAGCGGGGA